rnacentral:rRNA from 1 species
GGUAACUGGGGAGCGACUGGGGCGGAAGUACGAGGGGGGUUGCAGUUGCUCGGAAUAACUGGGAGUAAAGCGCACGUAGGGAGAUGACAAAGUCAGGGGGGAAAACCUGGAGUGCAACUCCAGAACUGCGUUUGAAACGGGGAAGCUCGAGUCCGGAAGAGGUGAGUGGAACUGGGAGUGUAGAGGUGAAAUUCGUAGAUAUUCGCGAGAACACCAGUGGCGAAGGCGGCUCACUGGUCCGGUACUGACGCUGAGGUGCGAAAGCGUGGGGAGCAAACAGGAUUAGAUACCCCAGUAGUC